UGUCAGUAUAAAUCUUUGAUC
rnacentral:siRNA from 1 species